rnacentral:rRNA from 1 species
CCUACGGGAGGCUGCAGUGGGGAAUAUUGGACAAUGGGCGAAAGCCUGAUCCAGCCAUGCCGCGUGUGUGAAGAAGGCCUUCGGGUUGUAAAGCACUUUCAGUGGGGAAGAAAGCCUUGGGGCUAAUACCCUCGAGGAAGGACAUCACCCACAGAAGAAGCACCGGCUAACUCCGUGCCAGCAGCCGCGGUAAUACGGAGGGUGCGAGCGUUAAUCGGAAUUACUGGGCGUAAAGCGCGCGUAGGCGGUCUGAUAAGCCGGUUGUGAAAGCCCCGGGCUCAACCUGGGAACGGCAUCCGGAACGGGCAGGCUAGAGUGCAGGAGAGGAAGGUAGAAUUCCCGGUGUAGCGGUGAAAUGCGUAGAGAUCGGGAGGAAUACCAGUGGCGAAGGCGGCCUUCUGGACUGACACUGACGCUGAGGUGCGAAAGCGUGGGUAGCAAACAGGAUUAGAUACCCUAGUAGUC